rnacentral:rRNA from 1 species
UACAGAGGUCUCGAGCGUUGUUCGGAUUCAUUGGGCGUAAAGGGUGCGUAGGCGGCGGGGCAAGUCUGAUGUGAAAUCCCGGGGCUCAACCCCGGAACUGCAUUGGAUACUGCCUUGCUAGAGUACUGGAGAGGAGACUGGAAUUUACGGUGUAGCAGUGAAAUGCGUAGAGAUCGUAAGGAAGACCAAUGGCGAAGGCAAGUCUCUGGACAGUGACUGACGCUGAGGCACGAAGGCCAGGGGAGCGAACGGG